UGCAAGCCUCCACACGCCAGUGAGAAUGCCCAUACACCCCUAAACAGCACGUUGGAGCAGGCAUCAGGACACAACACUUUUUAGCCAAAGACGCCUUGCACACGCCACACCCCCACGGGCCCUCAGCAGUAAUUGACAUUAAGCAUAAGCGAAAGCUCGACUCAGUUAUGAUUAAUUAUGGUCGGUAAAUUUCGUGCCAGCCACCGCGGUUAUACGAAAGACUAAAAACAACAGCCAUCGGCGUAAAGCGUGACUCGGGAUAACAACCACUAAAGGAGAACUUCUGCCAAGUUGUAAAAUACUACCGCACACAGAAUCACAAUAAGACACCUUUAAACUGCCCCUACUUCACGAAAGCUAAGAAACAAACUGGGAUUAGAUACCCCACUAUGCCUAGCCGUAAACACAGAUAGUAUAAAUACAACACUAUUCGCCAGAGAACUACAAGCGAAAAGCUAAAAACUCCAAGGAUUUGGCGGUGCUUCAAAUCAACCUAGAGGAGCCUGUCCUAUAAUCGAUACCCCACGUUUAACCUUACCACUCCUAGCCAACCAGCCUAUAUACCGCCGUCGUCAGCCUACCUUAUGAAAGACUUAGAGUAAGCAAAAAAGUUAAUAACUAACACGUCAGGUCAAGGUGUAGCACACGGAGCGGCAGAGAUGGGCUACAUUUUCUUCAAAAGAAGACACGAAUGGUAAACUGAAACACACACUUGAAGGCGGAUUUAGCAGUAAAAUAAACAAGAAUAUAUAUUUUAAACCCGCUCUGAAGCGCGCACACACCGCCCGUCACCCUCAUCA
rnacentral:rRNA from 1 species